GGGUUGUGAGGUUAAGCGACUAAGCGUACACGGUGGAUGCCCUGGCAGUCAGAGGCGAUGAAGGACGUGCUAAUCUGCGAUAAGCGCCGGUAAGGUGAUAUGAACCGUUAUAACCGGCGAUUUCCGAAUGGGGAAACCCAGUGUGAUUCGUCACACUAUCAUUAACUGAAUCCAUAGGUUAAUGAGGCGAACCGGGGGAACUGAAACAUCUAAGUACCCCGAGGAAAAGAAAUCAACCGAGAUUCCCCCAGUAGCGGCGAGCGAACGGGGAGGAGCCCAGAGCCUGAAUCAGCAUGUGUGUUAGUGGAAGCGUCUGGAAAGGCGCGCGAUACAGGGUGACAGCCCCGUACACAAAAGCGCAUGUGCUGUGAGCUCGAUGAGUAGGGCGGGACACGUGGUAUCCUGUCUGAAUAUGGGGGGACCAUCCUCCAAGGCUAAAUACUCCUGACUGACCGAUAGUGAACCAGUACCGUGAGGGAAAGGCGAAAAGAACCCCGGCGAGGGGAGUGAAAAAGAACCUGAAACCGUGUACGUACAAGCAGUGGGAGCACCCUUCGGGGUGUGACUGCGUACCUUUUGUAUAAUGGGUCAGCGACUUAUAU
rnacentral:rRNA from 1 species